rnacentral:rRNA from 1 species
AGCUCUUACAUAGGAUAUUUCGGUAUGGACGAUCUUUGACAACUUGUCGUUUUUGUUUGGUGAACCCACACACUCGCGUCAGUUCUUGGUGACCCUGUAUCGAUCUUGUCACUAUGAAUAGAUACAUUGCCUUUUUGUGGCUAUAUAUAUAUAUAUAUAUAUAUGUAUGUAUGUAUGUCAACAUAAGAUGUAUCUAUUGAGAGGGACUUUUAGAAAAUAUACAGCCAGAGGAUAAAAAUAGGAGGGCAAAUCCGCUGAACUUAAGCAUAUAAUUAAGCGGAAGAAAAGAAAAUAACUAUGAUUCCUUUAGUAACGGCGAGUGAAGAAGGAAUAGCUCAAUAAGUAGAAUCCUUCGAAUCUUAAUGAUAUAUUUAUACAUAGAAUAAAGAAUUGAAGGAAUUGUCAAGUUGAAUUGUACUCUUGUAGGCCUCACAGGUGAAAUGAAUAUAUAGAAGUAAAGUAGGAAUACUUCCUCAUAGAGGGUGAAAGGCCCGUAUCAUAUAUCAUUUCGUGGGCUUUGGAGUAUUUAUAUUUUACUGAGUAGUGUUCUUUGAGAUUGGAGCACAAAUUGGUGUGAUACAUUUCACAUAAAGCUAAAUAUGUACAGGAGACCGAUAGCAAACAAGUACCGUGAGGGAAAGAUGAAAUAGUACUCAGGAAUGAGCAAUUAAAUAGUACCUGAAAUCGUUAAGAUGGAACGGAUUAAGAGAGAAAACAAGUAAAGAGGAGAAUUUUUUACAUUUUUAUUUUUGUUUUAUAAUUCUCUUCUUUAUUAAAAGAAACAUCAGUGAUUAAUUUAAUUUCAAUAAAGCAAUCCCCUGAAAUUCAAAAUUUCUUUUAAUUUUGUUUUCACUUUCUCCCCGCACUAAUGUGGGGAAAACUGGCUUUAUUUCUUCAAUUAUUUUUUUUGCUGAGGAAUUUUAAAAUUAUUUGAAUUUUUCUUCUUAUAAUUUAAGUUGUUUCUAUAUAGUACUUUCUUAACCCACUCGUCUUGAAACACGGACCAAGGAGUCUAGCAAAUGUGCAAGUGUAUAUGAUUCUUUAAACAUUUCUCUUUUUAAUAUACGCAUAAUUAAUGUAAUAUGUUUCUUUAUUGUAGAUUUGUGGUGUUUAAUUUUUAUUAAAUCCCCACUUUGCAUACAAUACCGGUAAGCAAUUAUGCUUUAUUGAGUACGAGCAUAUUUGGUAGGACCCGAGAGGCUUUGAACUAAGCGUGAUGAGAUUGAAGUCAGGCGAAAGUCUGAUGGAGGAUCGAGUUGAUACUGACGUGCAAAUCGUUCAUUACAAUCACGUUUAGGGGCGAAAGACUAAUCGAAAAGCCUAUUAGCUGGUUAUUUUCGAAAGAUCUCUCAGGAUCGCUGGAGUUGAUUAAUAUAAUUUUACCAGGUAGAGAUAAUGAUUAGAGGAUUUAGGGAAAUGAAUUUUCCUUAACCUAUUCUCAAACUUCCAAUAUGUAAAAAGGGUGAUAUAUCUGAAUUGUGUGUAUUUCACUCUGUUUUAAAUAAAAUAACUCCAAGUGGGCCAUUUUUGGUAAGCAGAACUGGCGAUGAGGGAUGCUCCUAACGCUUGGAUAAGGUGCCUAAAUUAUUCGCUCAUGAGAUCCCAUAAAAGGUGUUGGUUCAUAAUGACAGUAGGACGAUGGUCAUGGAAGUCGAAAUUCGCUUAGGAGUGUGUAACAACUCACCUACCGAAUGAACUAGCCCUGAAAAUGGAUGGCGCUAAAGCGAAUUACCGAUACCAGGCCAUAAAAAGGUAGGAAUUAAAAUUUUUAAUUUACCUCAGAUCUUUUUAUGAGUAGAAAAUCGUGGGGUUUGUGUUGAAGCGAAAUACGUGAGUUUUCGUGGAACAUCUCCCUAGUGCAGAUCUUGGUGGAAGUAGCAACUAUUCAAAUGAGAACUUUGAAGACUGAAGUGGAGAAGGGUUUCUUGUCAACUAUGAUUGAACAAGAGUUAGCCACUCCUAAGGGAUAGCUGAAAAGUGUUUAAAAGAAGAAAUUCAUUAUAAGAAUUAUAUAAUGAAACUUCAUCUCGAAAGGGAAACAGGUUAAUAUUCCUGUGCCAUAAGUAAUAAGAGUGCAAACAGAGAUGGUAACAUACAUAUAAAUGAACUCCUUAACAUAGAUUUUACUCAUGGGGUGCGUUAUCUUUGCACUUUAAUUUUAUAACAAACCUUGGAAUCAAUUUAUUUGGAGAAGAGGUUCGUUGAACUCAAUUCAAAAAAAAAAAAAAAAAAAAAUUAAUUAAUAUAAUACAUUAUAUUAUAUAAUACUUAAGUUUUUUUUUUUUUUUUUUUUUUUUUUUUUUAUGUUUUGUAGCAAUAGUAAUUCAUUUCUUUUGAAUUAUCCAUAGUGGUAAAAACUAUCCAUGAAACAAGGAGGGAACAGCAGCAAUUAUAUAAUUUUUGGGGUUCUUUGAAUUCCUUAUUAUUUUUGCAAUAUUCUUAAUACUUGUACGAGCGUACCAAUAACCGCAUCAGGUCUCCAAGGUUAGUAGCCUCUGGUUAAAUAGAAAAAAGUAGGUAAGGGAAGUCGGCAAAAUAGAUCCGUAACUUCGGGAAAAGGAUUGGCUCUGAGGACAUUAGAAAAGAGAAGAAAAAAAGAGGGUUGAGAAUAAAAUUGCAGAUUUAUUUGCUUUUCUCUCUGAUUUGCUUGUAAAUUUUCUUUUUCUUUUUCUUCUUUUCUUUUUUUUUCUGUCCCUCUUUUCGUCUUCAUUUUAUUGUAAUUUUUGUUACUUUAAUUUGAUACAUAUAUAAUGUUAACUCAGAACUGAAACGGACAAGGGGAAUCCGACUGUUUAAUUAAAACAUAGCAUUGUGAAAAACCACAACUGGUAUUAACACAAUGUGAUUUCUGCCCAGUGCUUUGAAUGUCAAAUUGAUGAAAUUUAAUUAAGCGCAGGUAAACGGCGGGAGUAACUAUGACUCUCUUAAGGUAGCCAAAUGCCUCGUCAUCUAAUUAGUGACGCGCAUGAAUGGAUUAACGAGAUUCCCACUGUCCCUACUUGCUAUCUAGCGAAACCACAGCCAAGGGAACGGGCUUGGCAAAAUCAGCGGGGAAAGAAGACCCUGUUGAGCUUUACUCUAGUCUGACUUUGUAAAACGACUUAAAAGGUGUAGAUAUAAGUGGGAGUAGGAAAAUGAAAUACGUUUUUUACAAUAGUGAAAUACCACUACUUUUAAAGUUGUUUUACUAAUCCAUUGAUAGGGAUAUAUAAAACUUAUAAAUAAUUUUUAUUUUAAGUUACUUUUGAAUUUAAGAUAUGUGUGCAUUUAUAUCUAUUAAAUCCCAUUUUGUAUAUAUAUAUAUUAUAUAUAUGUGUAUAAUACGAUUUUUUUUAUGGAGACAUAGUUAGGUGGGGAGUUUGACUGGGGCGGUACAUCUGUUAAAAAAUAACGCAGAUGUCCAAAGACAAGCU